CCCUGGGUCCUCCAGAGUUUGUGUCAGGGA
rnacentral:piRNA from 1 species